GGGCCCAUAGUCUAGUGGUAGAACAGAUCCAUGGCAUGGAUCGGGCCGGGGUUCGAUUCCCCGUGGGUCCACCA
rnacentral:tRNA from 2 species